GUGGGGGAGAAAAAUACAUAUGAAAAUCCAAACUAAAUUGAAAUUGAGAGAUGAAUUUAAUUGAAUUGAACAAUACAUGCUGGUCGUAGGAAGUGGGGACUGGGGAUAUAAAAGAGAGAGCAACAAUUAGUCAGUAACAUUAAGUAGAUUUUAGAGGAGUACUAAGAUUUUAGGUUUCCUCCUUCCAACUUCAGCUAAACAGUGGACUACAAAUGCUAUUGAUUAAAACAAUAU
rnacentral:misc_RNA from 1 species